rnacentral:rRNA from 1 species
GGUUAAGCGACUAAGCGUACACGGUGGAUGCCCUGGCAGUCAGAGGCGAUGAAGGACGUGCUAAUCUGCGAUAAGCGUCGGUAAGGUGAUAUGAACCGUUAUAACCGGCGAUUUCCGAAUGGGGAAACCCAGUGUGAUUCGUCACACUAUCAUUAACUGAAUCCAUAGGUUAAUGAGGCGAACCGGGGGAACUGAAACAUCUAAGUACCCCGAGGAAAAGAAAUCAACCGAGAUUCCCCCAGUAGCGGCGAGCGAACGGGGAGCAGCCCAGAGCCUGAAUCAGUGUGUGUGUUAGUGGAAGCGUCUGGAAAGGCGCGCGAUACAGGGUGACAGCCCCGUACACAAAAAUGCACAUACUGUGAGCUCGAUGAGUAGGGCGGGACACGUGGUAUCCUGUCUGAAUAUGGGGGGACCAUCCUCCAAGGCUAAAUACUCCUGACUGACCGAUAGUGAACCAGUACCGUGAGGGAAAGGCGAAAAGAACCCCGGCGAGGGGAGUGAAAAAGAACCUGAAACCGUGUACGUACAAGCAGUGGGAGCACGCUUAGGCGUGUGACUGCGUACCUUUUGUAUAAUGGGUCAGCGACUUAUAUUCUGUAGCAAGGUUAACCGAAUAGGGGAGCCGAAGGGAAACCGAGUCUUAACUGGGCGUUAAGUUGCAGGGUAUAGACCCGAAACCCGGUGAUCUAGCCAUGGGCAGGUUGAAGGUUGGGUAACACUAACUGGAGGACCGAACCGACUAAUGUUGAAAAAUUAGCGGAUGACUUGUGGCUGGGGGUGAAAGGCCAAUCAAACCGGGAGAUAGCUGGUUCUCCCCGAAAGCUAUUUAGGUAGCGCCUCGUGAAUUCAUCUCCGGGGGUAGAGCACUGUUUCGGCAAGGGGGUCAUCCCGACUUACCAACCCGAUGCAAACUGCGAAUACCGGAGAAUGUUAUCACGGGAGACACACGGCGGGUGCUAACGUCCGUCGUGAAGAGGGAAACAACCCAGACCGCCAGCUAAGGUCCCAAAGUCAUGGUUAAGUGGGAAACGAUGUGGGAAGGCCCAGACAGCCAGGAUGUUGGCUUAGAAGCAGCCAUCAUUUAAAGAAAGCGUAAUAGCUCACUGGUCGAGUCGGCCUGCGCGGAAGAUGUAACGGGGCUAAACCAUGCACCGAAGCUGCGGCAGCGACGCUGAUGCGUUGUUGGGUAGGGGAGCGUUCUGUAAGCCUGUGAAGGUGUGCUGUGAGGCAUGCUGGAGGUAUCAGAAGUGCGAAUGCUGACAUAAGUAACGAUAAAGCGGGUGAAAAGCCCGCUCGCCGGAAGACCAAGGGUUCCUGUCCAACGUUAAUCGGGGCAGGGUGAGUCGACCCCUAAGGCGAGGCCGAAAGGCGUAGUCGAUGGGAAACAGGUUAAUAUUCCUGUACUUGGUGUUACUGCGAAGGGGGGACGGAGAAGGCUAUGUUGGCCGGGCGACGGUUGUCCCGGUUUAAGCGUGUAGGCUGGUUUUCCAGGCAAAUCCGGAAAAUCAAGGCUGAGGCGUGAUGACGAGGCACUACGGUGCUGAAGCAACAAAUGCCCUGCUUCCAGGAAAAGCCUCUAAGCAUCAGGUAACAUCAAAUCGUACCCCAAACCGACACAGGUGGUCAGGUAGAGAAUACCAAGGCGCUUGAGAGAACUCGGGUGAAGGAACUAGGCAAAAUGGUGCCGUAACUUCGGGAGAAGGCACGCUGAUAUGUAGGUGAAGCGACUUGCUCGUGGAGCUGAAAUCAGUCGAAGAUACCAGCUGGCUGCAACUGUUUAUUAAAAACACAGCACUGUGCAAACACGAAAGUGGACGUAUACGGUGUGACGCCUGCCCGGUGCCGGAAGGUUAAUUGAUGGGGUCAGCGCAAGCGAAGCUCUUGAUCGAAGCCCCGGUAAACGGCGGCCGUAACUAUAACGGUCCUAAGGUAGCGAAAUUCCUUGUCGGGUAAGUUCCGACCUGCACGAAUGGCGUAAUGAUGGCCAGGCUGUCUCCACCCGAGACUCAGUGAAAUUGAACUCGCUGUGAAGAUGCAGUGUACCCGCGGCAAGACGGAAAGACCCCGUGAACCUUUACUAUAGCUUGACACUGAACAUUGAGCCUUGAUGUGUAGGAUAGGUGGGAGGCUUUGAAGUGUGG